GUAGGUGGCAAGCGUUGUCCGGAAUUAUUGGGCGUAAAGCGCGCGCAGGUGGUUCUUUAAGUCUGAUGUGAAAGCCCCCGGGCUCAACCGGGGAGGGUCAUUGGAAACUGGGGAACUUGAGUGCAGGAGAGGAAAGUGGAAUUCCACGUGUAGCGGUGAAAUGCGUAGAUAUGUGGAGUAACACCAGUGGCGAAGGCGACUUUCUGGCCUGUAACUGACACUGAGGCGCGAAAGCGUGGGGAGCAAACAGGAUUAGAUACCCUGGUAGUCCACGCCGUAAACGAUGAGUGCUAAGUGUUGGGGGGUUUCCGCCCCUCAGUGCUGCAGCUAACGCAUUAAGCACUCCGCCUGGGGAGUACGGUCGCAAAGACUG
rnacentral:rRNA from 1 species